AGUGAACGCUGGCGGUAGGCCUAACACAUGCAAGUCGAACGGCAGCACAGGAGAGCUUGCUCUCUGGGUGGCGAGUGGCGGACGGGUGAGGAAUACAUCGGAAUCUGCCCAGUCGUGGGGGAUAACGUAGGGAAACUUACGCUAAUACCGCAUACGACCUUCGGGUGAAAGAGGGGGAUCGCAAGACCUCUCGCGAUUGGAUGAGCCGAUGUCGGAUUAGCUAGUUGGCGGGGUAAUGGCCCACCAAGGCGACGAUCCGUAGCUGGUCUGAGAGGAUGAUCAGCCACACUGGAACUGAGACACGGUCCAGACUCCUACGGGAGGCAGCAGUGGGGAAUAUUGGACAAUGGGCGCAAGUCUGAUCCAGCCAUACCGCGUGGGUGAAGAAGGCCUUCGGGUUGUAAAGCCCUUUUGUUGGGAAAGAAAUCUUUCAGGCUAAUACCCUGGGAGGAUGACGGUACCCAAAGAAUAAGCACCGGCUAACUUCGUG
rnacentral:rRNA from 1 species